UUAGAAGUCAUGAAGUGGUUCAUUAAUCAUUGAUUAAACCAUUAAAUCAUAUUGCUAACAUCAUUGGCGUGCUUUACAAAAGGGGAGUACAUAGUGUUGUUUAUUUGCAGGAGCGAAGACAUCCGAAAACACGUCUUUUAGUUCAAGUUAGUCAGUUUUUGUGAUUUUUGAUGUUGUUUCGUUGUUGCCAAUUAAGGAGUGGAAAACGGAUUCUAUGAACAGACAGAUGGAGUAGCAAUGGAGAGCCCCCUUCGUCCGGUGAUAGUUAACUACUUUAUGGAGAAAUUUUAAAUGAACGCUCUGGACACAGCCGCGACGAAACCUAAGCGUUGGUUUUGAUAUGUUGAUGACACUUUUGUUGUUUGGGGCAUGGUUUGGUUGAACUUAGACUUCCUGAGGCACCUCAACUCAAUAAACCCAAAAAUACAGUUCACUAUGGAAGUGGAGAAGAAUGGGCGACUGCCAUUUUUAGAUGUCUUGGUAACUAGAAAAACCAACGAAAAGCUGGCCCACACGGUGUACAGAAAACCGACACAUACCGACCCGUACCUGCACAGUGGAUCAAACCAUCAUCCCAGUCGAAAAAGAGGAGUCAUUAAAACCCUCACCGAAAGAGUCAGAAGAAUUUGCGAACCAGCUGAGUUAGAAAGAGAAUUGAAACACCUAGAAAGGACAAUUUGUUGGAAUGGCUACAGCAAGAACGAGUUCAAUAGAGCAAUUCGACCAAGAAACAGUGGAGAAAAAGUAAGGGUUGGGCUUGCCUCCCAUACAUACAUGGAGUCACGGACAGGAUUGGCAGGAUACUGGAGAAACACAAAGUCAAAACAGUUUUUAAAUCAACCCGAACAAUCCAACAGACUUUGAGAUCGGCCAAGGACAAACGGGAUCCUUUAUCAGCACGUAUAUGCAGUUGUGGCAGACCAUCGACACCACAAAACGUAGUGUAAACACUAGGAUCACGGAGCAUAAACGAAGUUGCAGAUUAGGACAAACAGAAAAAUCAACAGUAGCGGAGCACGCACUUCUAGACGGCCACCACAUACGUUUCGACGAAGUGGACAUUUUGCACCAAUCUCAACGGAAAGAAGAAGUAACGUCCCUUAAUCCAGAUUGGAAACCCGUUUUGCGGCAAACAGCGUGUGCUCCAAAACAAUUGAAGCCCCGCCCACUCCUCACGCAUUAGCUCACACGGCUGGGCCGCAUUAGUACGACAGGGGAUCCAGUAGUUGAACCAGUCUUAGUCGGAAAGCACGGGAGAUCACUUCGCCCACUGCCUCA